GACGAACGCUGGCGGCGUGCCUAACACAUGCAAGUCGAGCGAAUGAAGUUCCUUCGGGAAUGGAUUUAGCGGCGGACGGGUGAGUAACACGUGGGCAACCUGCCUCAUAGAGGGGAAUAGCCUCCCGAAAGGGAGAUUAAUACCGCAUAAGAUUGUAGUACCGCAUGAUACAGCAAUUAAAGGAGCAAUCCGCUAUGAGAUGGGCCCGCGGCGCAUUAGCUAGUUGGUGAGGUAAUGGCUCACCAAGGCGACGAUGCGUAGCCGACCUGAGAGGGUGAUCGGCCACAUUGGGACUGAGACACGGCCCAGACUCCUACGGGAGGCAGCAGUGGGGAAUAUUGCAAAAUGGGGGAAACCCUGAUGCAGCAACGCCGCGUGAGUGAUGACGGCCUUCGGGUUGUAAAGCUCUGUCUUCAGGGACGAUAAUGACGGUACCUGAGGAGGAAGCCACGGCUAACUACGUG
rnacentral:rRNA from 1 species